rnacentral:lncRNA from 1 species
AUGAAACUCAUUCUGCGGUGGAUUUUUUGCUUCAGUUUAGGUUUUGUCGCUGAUUGCCAAGUGAAUCGUUAUGGAUUGAAAGGAAGCUCAAUCCGUCUGAGCAUCAGUCCCAGAAAUCAGUCACUAACUAAUGUUGGGUGGCAACGAUUAAACAGGAAAGAGGUGCUUACAGACGCAAAAGAAGUUUCCCCUCAUUUUGAGAAAAGAAUGAGCCUAAACGUCUCAGACAUGUCUUUGACCAUACACAACCUUGAGGAAAAUGACAGUGGACUGUAUGAAGUCAUUAAGAAGUGGGAGUCUGAACCUCUGGCUGCAUUCACACUUACAGUGGAGAGCACUGUCUCUAAGCCUGUAAUCAGAGUGGAUCAACAUGACUUUAAUUCGUCUGCUGAAGUGUGUCGGGCCGCAGUGAACUGUUCGGCUGAUGGCAGCUGGGCCACGUUUGACUGCCACCAAAAUAUCUGUACAAAGAUACGAUCCUCUCCAUUCUCCAUUAACAUCACUGUCACUGCACUGCACAGCAGCGGCAUCGAAUGCAACGUCAGCAACAACGUGAGCAAGAAUCAUUCUCAGACUCCCAUUACGUGCCAUGAAAAGCAGAAAAGUGAUUAUCGUUUUCUCCCAUCGCUCAUCUUCUGGAUCGUUGGCACCGUUUGUGGUGGUGUUUUGUUGGGUUUGGUUAUGGGUGGGAUUGUAGCAUUUGUCAAGAGAAGAAAAUGUUCAAAAGUUCAUCCACAGUCCAGUCGUGUUGUGAUUGAACAGCAUCAUGAAACAAUUUACUGCACCGUGGAAAAGCCGGCCACAUCCCAGACAUAUCCAGGAAACAACACUGUCAGCAACAAUGUAGAAACCAUCUACGACACUCCAUCACGACAUACCAAGGCUUGUCAAGUAGACAGUGUGGAGGUGAUGAGAGACAAUCAGGAGCAACAGCAAUCUGGACAAGACAGAACUAUUCAAGUAAAAGCUACAGUUCACCAGGCAGCAGAACCCGAUUCAGAUCCAAUAAACACUGUUUACUGCAAACUGGGAGAGAUAUGA